AAUGAACGCUGGCGGCGCGCCUAAUACAUGCAAGUCGAGCGAGAAGACGUAGCAAUACGUUUGUAAAGCGGCGAACGGGUGAGGAAUACAUGGGUAACCUACCCUCGAGUGGGGAAUAACUAGCCGAAAGGUUAGCUAAUACCGCGUACGCUCCUUGGACUUCGGUUCAGGGAGGAAAGCGAUACCGUGGGUAUCGCGCUCUUGGAUGGGCUCAUGUCCUAUCAGCUUGUUGGUGAGGAACGGCUCACCAAGGCUUCGACGGGUAGCUGGUCUGAGAGGACGAUCAGUCACACUGGCACUGCGACACGGGCCAGACUCCUACGGGAGGCAGCAGUAAGGAAUAUUGCGCAAUGGGCGAAAGCCUGACGCAGCGACGCCGCGUGGGGGA
rnacentral:rRNA from 1 species